CCCCUCUCAGGGUCGCACCUGGAGAGUUUUCAGUAUUCCACCAGGCUCGGCUAUGGGAAGGAGAGUCAGGCAGAGGCAUACCUAUUCCAUUCCUAGCUUGGCCAAUGGCUAGCAAGUGGAAGGCAAUCUGUUACAAGU
rfam:Ornithorhynchus anatinus chromosome 10, whole genome shotgun sequence.